CCCAGUUCGGAUCGCAGGCUGCAACCCGCCUGCGUGAAGUUGGAAUCGCUAGUAAUCGCGGAUCAGCAUGCCGCGGUGAAUACGUUCCCGGGCCUUGUACACACCGCCCGUCACACCAUGAGAGUCGGGAACACCCGAAGUCCGUAGCCUAACCGCAAGGGGGGCGCGGCCGAAGGUGGGUUCGAUAAUUGGGGUGAAGUCGUAACAAGGUAUC
rnacentral:rRNA from 1 species